rnacentral:rRNA from 1 species
UACGGGGGGGUAAGCGUUGUUCGGAAUUACUGGGCGUAAAGGGCUCGUAGGCGGCCAACUAAGUCAGACGUGAAAUCCCUCAGCUUAACUGGGGAACUGCGUCUGAUACUGGAUGGCUUGGAUUCGGGAGAGGAAUGCGGAAUUCCAGGUGUAGCGGUGAAAUGCGUAGAUAUCUGGAGGGAUACCGGUGGCGAAGGCGGCAUCCUGGACCGGCAUUGACGCUGAGGAGCGAAAGCUAGGGGA